rnacentral:lncRNA from 1 species
UGUCAAAACAAGAUUUUAUUUUAUCAGACGUAAUAUCCCAAAAUUGACAUAGCUCGGAGUUUAAAACAUAUAAGCAAAUAAAACUAAAAGCUUAACAGAUAUAAGUUCAAGUCAAAAGAAGUUUUCAUCAUUAAAUAAAACCAGGGGAUGCAAAAAUGAUAAAACAAAAUAAAUUAAUAAAACAAGUUCUAAAUCCUAAGACUACGGUUUCUUCAUGAGCUUAUUGAUAGACUUCAGAUCAG